rnacentral:lncRNA from 1 species
AUUAACAUAUAACAGAAAUGCAGAUUUCUGGACGUUGCCUCAGAGAUUCGGCUUUGCUUGGUCUGUACUGUACCAUCUCUCCCAGCGGCUCUAAUGUUGUUGGACAGUAGUUACUGAAAGUAAUUCCAUGCUAUCCCCAACUCCUCUUGGCCUUCUUCUAUAGCAGAUAAUCUAGCACCUAUAAACAUCUGGAGCAUUAAUGUUCUGUUGAACACAGAUUGGGAAGCUAAGUACUGGAAAACACAGCAAAGGAGUCAGUAGAGAUAUUCGCCAGGAAAGAGGAAAGAGUUAUUUCAUGGAAAGCCUUUAGCUUUUUUCUGUGAAAACUAAGGACAAUUAAAUGUAGUGUAGUGAUGAAGACAGACAUUGAAGGGAUGAAUGGACAAAUGAUAAUAAAAAUAAAAAUAUAAAGAGUCCUGAUUGCUACUGGAGAAAGUAUAAGGGAACUCUCAUCUUGUCACUGAUGGAGGAAGAUUGAGAGACUGGUGUAGAACAAGGAAGAAGUCCUUGAGGAAGUGUCACAGAUGCCGAGUCCAGAGGC